rnacentral:rRNA from 1 species
GACGAACGCUGGCGGCGUGCCUAAUACAUGCAAGUCGAGCGAGCUUGCCUAUUGAAAUUCUUCGGAAUGGACAUAGAUACAAGCUAGCGGCGGAUGGGUGAGCAACGCGUGGGUAACCUGCCCUUAAGUCUGGGAUACCAUUUGGAAACAGAUGCUAAUACCGGAUAAAAGCUACUUUCGCAUGAAAGAAGUUUAAAAGGCGGCGUAAGCUGUCGCUAAAGGAUGGACCUGCGAUGCAUUAGCUAGUUGGUAAGGUAACGGCUUACCAAGGCGAUGAUGCAUAGCCGAGUUGAGAGACUGAUCGGCCACAUUGGGACUGAGACACGGCCCAAACUCCUACGGGAGGCAGCAGUAGGGAAUCUUCCACAAUGGACGCAAGUCUGAUGGAGCAACGCCGCGUGAGUGAAGAAGGUUUUCGGAUCGUAAAGCUCUGUUGUUGGUGAAGAAGGAUAGAGGUAGUAACUGGCCUUUAUUUGACGGUAAUCAACCAGAAAGUCACGGCUAACUACGUGCCAGCAGCCACGGUAAUACGUAGGUGGCAAGCGUUGUCCGGAUUUAUUGGGCGUAAAGCGAGCGCAGGCGGAUUGAUAAGUCUGAUGUGAAAGCCUUCGGCUCAACCGAAGAACUGCAUCAGAAACUGUCAAUCUUGAGUGCAGAAGAGGAGAGUGGAACUCCAUGUGUAGCGGUGGAAUGCGUAGAUAUAUGGAAGAACACCAGUGGCGAAGGCGGCUCUCUGGUCUGUAACUGACGCUGAGGCUCGAAAGCAUGGGUAGCGAACAGG